CGCCCCUGACAAUGCUCCAAGAGACACCUUGGUGGUGGUGGUGUUCUUAUAUCAGUGAAAGGCAGAGCAACAGCAGUCCUUUGUUCAUCCUAGCUUAAUGCCUUGUUUGGUGGCCAAAACUGUCUUAUGCCUAGGACUCAUAA